AUUGAACGCUGGCGGCAUGCCUUACACAUGCAAGUCGAACGGCAGCAUGAUCUAGCUUGCUAGAUUGAUGGCGAGUGGCGAACGGGUGAGUAAUACAUCGGAACGUGCCCUGUAGUGGGGGAUAACUAGUCGAAAGAUUAGCUAAUACCGCAUACGACCUGAGGGUGAAAGUGGGGGACCGCAAGGCCUCAUGCUAUAGGAGCGGCCGAUGUCUGAUUAGCUAGUUGGUGGGGUAAAGGCCCACCAAGGCGACGAUCAGUAGCUGGUCUGAGAGGACGAUCAGCCACACUGGGACUGAGACACGGCCCAGACUCCUACGGGAGGCAGCAGUGGGGAAUUUUGGACAAUGGGGGCAACCCUGAUCCAGCAAUGCCGCGUGUGUGAAGAAGGCCUUCGGGUUGUAAAGCACUUUUGUCCGGAAAGAAAUCGCACUUACUAAUAUUAGGUGUGGAUGACGGUACCGGAAGAAUAAGGGCCGGCUAACUACGUG
rnacentral:rRNA from 1 species